rnacentral:rRNA from 1 species
GAUGAACGCUGGCGGCGUGCCUAAUACAUGCAAGUCGAGCGAACAGACGAGGAGCUUGCUCCUCUGACGUUAGCGGCGGACGGGUGAGUAACACGUGGAUAACCUACCUAUAAGACUGGGAUAACUUCGGGAAACCGGAGCUAAUACCGGAUAAUAUAUUGUACCGCAUGGUUCAAUAGUGAAAGACGGUUUUGCUGUCACUUAUAGAUGGAUCCGCGCCGCAUUAGCUAGUUGGUAAGGUAACGGCUUACCAAGGCAACGAUGCGUAGCCGACCUGAGAGGGUGAUCGGCAACACUGGAACGAAGACCGGCGCCAGCCUCCGACGGAGGGAAGGAGGAGGAAAUCUCCCGAAAGGGGGGAAAGCCGGACGGCGCAGCGCUGGGGGAGGAAUAAGGGUUUUAGUAUCUAAAAACGUUUUUAUUGGGAAAAAAAAAAUGUGAAAGAAACAAUCCACGUCUUGAGGGUCCCAAAAGAAAGAGCCGCGCAAACCUGCGC